ensembl:lncRNA
GGGGGGUGUUAUUUCUAGAAACAAUGUAUAUUAAUAGACAAGAUAAUUCACAGAAAAGGAAGGACAGUUGGUCUUGUAGAAAUAUAGGGACAAUUCUAAGGGUAGAUAGAACAUUACACACACCUAGAUUAUGGUAAAAGUAAUAAGUAGUGGCAUUUUGAAGAAGCUUAGGACUUAGUUUUGUUAGGAUUGGAUAUUCUUUCAACUGGAAGACACUUGACUGAGUACAUGUUAUUCUUACAGCAGUUGCUGUAGGGACCAUAACUUGGAUAUCAUUAUGAAUAUUUUUGUGGCAAGAGGUCAGGUAUUUGAGACAGAAUGUUUACAUAACAGAAUGUUUACAUAGGGCUGUUAUUUAAGAAAGUCUGUUGUCAGGAAAUAACCCAUGUGUUAGUAUGUAUGUUUCCAGGAGAAGAGUACAUAAGACGCCAGAUGGAAGGGCAUGGGCUGAAUUCUGGAGACUGAGUGUACAUCAAGAUACACCAGGCUGGGGAUAUACUUCUUACAGCACCUGCAGUGGUAAAGAUCGUCAUGUCUCUCUUUGAUGGGUGCAUAAGUUUCACAAGAAGUAAGGUCCAGCUGAAUAAUGGAAAGAAGGCAGAAACCUGAACCAGGACGAGAGGUUCCACAUCUGAUGAUCCAAGGAGACCAGAAGGCCCUCUCCCAGUGAUACCAGGAGAUCCAGUCUACGGUCGAGUGUUCCGAAGGAAGUGGGAUCAGCCGAGGAGAGAAGGACCCUACGAGGUGGCAACGGCCACAAUCACGGCCGUCCAAGUGAAAGGAAGCAAGACGUGGUAUCAUCUAAACCACUGCACCCGAGUCCCGACGGAGAGAAGGACACAACCAUACAGAGAUGAGGACACAGAGGAUGCUGAUUCACCAGAGGGGACCCCGGAGGGAGCAGGAGCAGAGGAAUCGAUCAAAGCCCCGGGGAGGACUCAAGAAAAUGGCAGACCAGAUACAACGAGUGCAUCAGCUAACACACUCAGAAGAAGCACCAGGGGAAAAGAGCCUGAAAAGAAAAGAGCCUGAAAAGAAAAGAGACAAACGACCAAAGUUUCCUCCAGUAUGGCCAGAAAGCCCAGAAGUGGGAGGGGGUAACAUGUCUGCCACUCCUGAUGAUAUACCUGUUGGGGCAGGCCUCUUUGACAGAAGCACUCUACAGAGGGGCUCCGAGGUAUUGCCUAAAGAAUGGGAACAUCUCUUCCCUGAAAUGGACACCUUCCAAAUGGAAGCCCAGUCCGGCCUGAGGAGGGAGCUUCAGGGGAGGAAAGAAGGAGAGACCCCACUAACGAGAAGGAAAAGUCGAGUGAGCUGAAGAAAAUGGCAAUUUCCCCAAAAAUUGACUUUUCAGCUCUUACCUGAUCUCCAUAAUGAACCAUUGGAAUUAGGACCACGAAAGAACAGUGACAAUGACAGAAUAAGAGCGACUGAGGACAAUACGAAGAUGAUGCACGCACUCACAAUCAAGAUAAAAGAUAAAAGCAGGAAGAGAAGAGAGGAGCCUGUCGAACGAGGUAAAAAGACAGGACCUGUUGAUAGGUUUAAAUUUCAUGUUCCCUCACAACUUCUAACAGAACCAGGGGAACAGAGGACAGGUUCUGUAUGGAAGAAGAAACCUGUACCGGAGGAGCCACUCUGUGGAUGGACGCGUCAUAUAACAAAGGGAGAAGCUGUUUGGGACCUCAAAGGAUGUGACCUGACACUAACCAAAUAUGUGAAAGGCUGGGAGUUUAUCAUGAACAAGAUGACACCAGCAGAAGGUGAAGAAUUUGAAAUUGAAAUAACAAGAACAGGACUGAGUGAAGGAAACAGUUACGAAUAUGUUAAAUUGGGUCCUAUGCCAGCACCUGAACAAAAAACGAUUUGCCACUACACUAGGGAGACAGAGAGAGGUGGUAACCACACAGAGACACAGAGAGAGAGAGAUGACACCUCCUAGGGAGACAGAGAGAGGUGGUAACCACACAUCACAGACACAGAGAGAGAGAUGAUGACACCUCCUAGGGAGAGAGAG